CGCCCGGUGCGCAUGCGCACUGACCCCCAGGUGGGCGGGGCUCGGGCCGCCUGUGGAGGGUGAGAGGGGAGCCGCGGCGUGCGCAUGCGCUGCCUGAUGGGCUAGAUCCUAGUCCUGCGUCCCUCCUCUCCCGGGUCUCAGCAAAGCGGGGUGGUGGGGGCCGCCGCCCCCCAGGGCCCGUCAGGUCAUGGCAGCCAAGGUCCCUCCGCCUGUGUGUGAAGGGGGGGCAGGCUGGGGGCCCCCCGUGGCCAACUGGAGGCGCCCUAGGACAGGCGGGUCGGGUGCACAGCAGCCCCGCGGGCUCAGCCCGGCCGUCCCGCCUUGCCAGUACCUCCUGCCUCAGAAAGCAGCGAGUCCCCCCCGGGCCUCUGGCGGGGAGCCCCGACCCGCGCCCCGGGGCAGAGGCCCAGCGCGGCACCCCACGGUUCUGAGCCGCAGCAGCUCCGUUGGGAAGGAAGCGCCGGGGCUUAGAAACGCCUCCUGCCGUGGCAGGGACAAGGGAUUGCCAUCUACAACCUUUUGAAACCACAAUUCCGGACAGAACUACAGCAACAUAGGAAUUACCUUAUUGGAAAAGACCAGAGGUCCCUCUACUCCUUCAUCUUUUCUCUGACAGUGGCCAGUACUAGACGUUUCUGAGGAAGCCUUAGCCUGCAUGUGGAGGAAGAGGAGGCAACUAAAGAAGGAGACCAUUCUAAAGAGCUGAAUAUGUUUACUCAGAAGAGGACUAAAAAGAAAAAUCUCUAGAUUUGCCCGGGCAGGGAAGAGGCACUCUUGUCACUAAAAUAUUGAAGAGCAUUUUCUUCCUGAGAAUUGGUUUGGUGAACUUGGUGGGACACAUCUUAAUUGUCAGCUCUCUGGAUUUGACUUCAUAGAGCACCUUGCGCACGCUGGAUGCUAUAAAAGCCAGCAAAAAAUACUGUGGAAAGCUGUGUCAUGGGAGGGGAUGGAAGAAGAUAGGGCCUUGUGUCACUAGAGCACCCCGUCUUCCUACUAAAGAAUGGCAAUGAUGGGCUCAGAAGGGAAUCCUGUUCUCUUUAGCUGUAGGAAAGAAAUAUUACAACAUAAUCUCUCACUUUCAAGUACUGUGUGCUGAUGAUGGCUGGUGUUCAAUGGGGCACAGAAGGGAUUUUCAUGGAUGUUUGUGAACAUCAUUCAGAUGAAACAUUAAAUGUUGAUCAGACUGGAAAUACGAUCAUCCACAUUUUUGCUCUAUGCGUGAGCAUUGUGCGAGUUGUUACAUUGCUGUACACUGCUACGUGUACCAUGCUGUGCUACCAACUUAGACAAAUCCAAGUAGUUGUAAUUAGGUGUGGAUAAAAUUUCAGCUCUGUCAACUCAAUUAGCACCAUGUCCAUAGACUUCCAGUCAAAAUGGACUCUUCACAAGAUUCAAGUCAAACACAUUAUACGAAGCCUGUUCCUCCUAAAAAAGGAAUUUUCAUAUUCAUAUAUAAAUCAAUGGCAUUUAUUUUUAUAGCAUGAAUUGUACCUACAUAUGAUUUUUCAUUCUUGGCCUUUUUCUUCUAAGUGGCUCUAUUCUCCCUUUCCCACAAUUUCACUAUUAGCUAAUCUUAUAUUUUUGUA